GCCUGGGUGGCUCAGUUGGUUAAGUGCCUGACUCUUAAUAUCCACUCAGGUCGUGAUCUUGUGAUUGUGGGAAUGAGCCCCACCUCAGGUU
rnacentral:tRNA from 1 species